rnacentral:rRNA from 1 species
AGCGAACGCUGGCGGCAGGCCUAACACAUGCAAGUCGAACGGACCCUUCGGGGUGAGUGGCAGACGGGUGAGUAACGCGUGGGAACGUGCCCUUCAGUUCGGGAUAACCCAGAGAAACUUGGGCUAAUACCGGAUACGUGCGAGAGCAGAAAGAUUUAUCGCUGAAGGAUCGGCCCGCGUCUGAUUAGCUAGUUGGUGGGGUAAUGGCCCACCAAGGCGACGAUCAGUAGCUGGUCUGAGAGGAUGAUCAGCCACAUUGGGACUGAGACACGGCCCAAACUCCUACGGGAGGCAGCAGUGGGGAAUAUUGGACAAUGGGCGCAAGCCUGAUCCAGCCAUGCCGCGUGAGUGAUGAAGGCCUUAGGGUUGUAAAGCUCUUUCGUCCGGGACGAUAAUGACGGUACCGGAAGAAGAAGCCCCGGCUAACUUCGUGCCAGCAGCCGCAGUAA